rnacentral:rRNA from 1 species
AUUGAACGCUGGCGGCAGGCCUAACACAUGCACGUCGAACGAGUGGCGGACGGGUGAGUAAUGUCUGGGAAACUGCCUGAUGGAGGGGGAUAACUACUGGACACGGUAGCUAAUACCGCAUACCAUCGGAUGUGCCCAGAUGGGAUUAGCUAGUAGGUGGGGUAAAGGCUCACCUAGGCGACUAUCCCUAGCUGGUCUGAGAGGAGGACCAGCCACAAGGGAACUAGGACACGGUACAGACGCCGACGGGAGGAAGCAGUGGGGAAUAUUGAACAAGGGGCACAAGCCUGAUGCAGCCGUGCCGCGUGUAUGAAGAAGGCCUGCGGGUUGUAAAGUACUUGCAGCGGGGAGGCGUUACCCGCAGAAGAAGCACCGGCUAACGCCGUGCCAGCAGCCGCGGUAAGUG